UACGAAGGGUGCAAGCGUUACUCGGAAUUACUGGGCGUAAAGCGUGCGUAGGUGGUUUGUUAAGUCCGUUGUGAAAGCCCUGGGCUCAACCUGGGAAUGGCAGUGGAUACUGGCGAGCUAGAGUGCGGUAGAGGGUAGUGGAAUUCCCGGUGUAGCAGUGAAAUGCGUAGAGAUCGGGAGGAACACCAGUGGCGAAGGCGGCUACCUGGACCAUUCUGACGCUGGAUGACACGAAAGCUAGGGGGAGCAAACAGG
rnacentral:rRNA from 1 species